GUACGGGGGGGGCGGAAGCGUUGUUUCGGAAAUUACUGGGCGUAAAGGGUUCGUAGGUGGCCUGCUAAGUCACACGUGAAAUCCCUCAGCUUAACUGGGGAACUGCGUGUGAGACUGGCGGGCUUGAGUGCAGGAGAGGAACGCGGAAUUCCAGGUGUAGCGGUGAAAUGCGUAGAUAUCUGGAGGAACACCGGUGGCGAAGGCGGGUCUCUGGGCCGAUACUGACGCUGAGGAGCGAAAGCGUGGGGAGCGAACAGG
rnacentral:rRNA from 1 species